GUUGCUGAGUGUCAUUCUGAACAAUUGAAAAUGGUCAAUCUAUCCUUGAAAUGUAAUGUAAAACCAAUUGCUUUUCUUCUAAGACAUUGCUGCCAACCAAAACACCAAGAUGCUAACGGAGCUACUCAUGGAGGUGAAGCAAAUGUCACGGGACAUUCAGUUCAUAAAGACUGAAAUUGCCAAAUCCUCCAUGAAUAUUCCUGGAGCGGGAUCACAGAGAGAGGAGCCCUUCCCCAUUGUUCUGCCACUCGCCAAUGAGGAGCAGUUUGAUGAGGCUGAAGCUGCACUGAAGGAGGAAUCAGUCCGUCGAAAGAUGGUGAACCAUUUUUUCUUACAAGUAUUUUCUUACAUUUUGUCAGGAAUUGUAGGUUUGGAGGCAUUAAAGGGAUAGUUUGGAUUUUUGGACAAGAGGUCGUAUUACAUCCUCAUCAGCGGUGUCGGGCAUCAGCAGUGACUUUUCCCCCACUGCGUCCUGUGCGCGGAGUUCUGGCCCGGUUUUUGCGCUGCAGAAAGUAGUUUUGCUUCAAAAAAUAAUAUGCAUUCAAAAGAGUAAUACAUUUGCAUCACAAAUUGUUGGCCGUAAAAAAGUCUGACCUCAUCCGGCACUAUUUUCCCUCCCUUCAUAUUACUGCGCGUACCUUUUCAUCAGCUGAAGGAGGCAAAAGGAGACCGCUACGACGCUUCUCUCGCUGUCCAUUUGACAUGGCACAUUGUACACUUUAGCAAACUAACCAUUUUCUCUCUAAUCUGUUAAGAUUACCCGCUUGGCAUUAGUCGGAGGGACCAAUGCCGAAAAUAUGAUCUGGCGAAUGCUAUCCGCUACCAUGGCAAACCGUGUAGCAUGCAUUUUCAACUGGGCGGGAAAGGGACCGAAGAGGGCCUUCAAGGACACGUUAAUGCAGGACUGCAUGUUUGUUGACAGAAUUGCAGUACAGGGGUGCCCUGCAGAAGUGGCUGCGUUACGCACCGGAGAGGAGUGGCGGAGUACCAAGAAAAGGCAAAGAUUAAGGACUAUUAAGGACAAAUGUUACUGUAAUGUUCUAAUUACAGGGUUAAUUAUAGGGUUAAUGUUCAUAAUUCCUUAAGAUGUUAAGAUGUUUGUUUAUAAUUGCUUUUCAAUAUUUAUUAAAUAACUUUUUGAAUAAUGGUCUGUUUUGUUGUUGUUGUUUUUUUGUUCAUAGAGCAUUCAAUAAAGCAGCUGUUCUCAACCUUGGUUUCUUAAAAAGAA